UACGUAGGGGGCAAGCGUUGUCCGGAAUCAUUGGGCGUAAAGCGCGUGUAGGCGGUUCGAUAAGUCUGCUGUGAAAGUCCAGGGCUCAACCCUGGGAUGCCGGUGGAUACUGUCGAGCUAGAGUACGGAAGAGGCGAGUGGAAUUCCUGGUGUAGCGGUGAAAUGCGCAGAUAUCGGGAAGAACACCCGUGGCGAAGGCGGCUCUCUGGGACGGUACUGACGCUGAGACGCGAAAGCGUGGGGAGCGAACAGG
rnacentral:rRNA from 1 species